rnacentral:rRNA from 1 species
UAAAUCCUACGGGGCGCAGCAGUGGGGAAUAUUGCACAAUGGGGGGAACCCUGAUGCAGCGACGCCGCGUGAGUGAAGAAGUAUUUCGGUAUGUAAAGCUCUAUCAGCAGGGAAGAAAAUGACGGUACCUGACUAAGAAGCCCCGGCUAACUACGUGCCAGCAGCCGCGGUAAUACGUAGGGGGCAAGCGUUAUCCGGAUUUACUGGGUGUAAAGGGAGCGUAGACGGCAGCGCAAGUCUGGAGUGAAAUGCCGGGGCUCAACCCCGGAACUGCUUUGGAAACUGUGCAGCUAGAGUGCGGGAGG